UUCUAAAAUACAAUUUUGAUCUUAGUUUGCAAAAUCAGAGACGUAAUCUAUUUCCACUGCAUAUUUGCUGUAAAGUGAAACGAUUGGUUCAGAAACACAAAUCUGAGCUCGUGAGAAAAAGAGAAAUCUCAAAAGAGGUGUUCACAAUACCGAGUGUGCUUAAAAGCCAAGCAAAAACAAAUGUGCUUUCAGAAAAAAAUAUGGAACAAAACCCAAGGCUGGUUUAUCCUCAUCAUGGUAAAGACACUAUCUCUGUGGAGACAGCUGAAACAGUCUCCACUGAUGAAGCAGCGAUGCUUGACCGGGAUAAUGGACCUGCUGAGAUCUGCAUAAAGGAGGAGGAGGAGGAGGAGUAGUCAGAUCUUCACUCUGAGGUCAAACGGGUUUAUUUCUGCAAAGACCAAGAUACCGUCAGAACAUCUGAAGAGCAUUUGAUCGAAGAUGGAUCAUGGCAUGAAUCAACACCCAGUAAUAUUCUGCCUGGAAAUGUGUUCAGCCUUCCACAGGCACCACUACCAGCUGCAGAAAGUGGUCCUUUCGGAAGUAAAACCGAGCCAACUUCACAGAUAUAACCAGAUGGUCCAAUGCAGAAUCACUCGAGACAAAAUACCAUAGACUUGACAGAAGUAACCAGGGGAAAAAAGGGAUUUAAUGAGAAUAAAUACAUGUUUAUAGCCAAGAAGGAAAAGAAAGUUGUCAGACAAGUAGAACCUCAUUGAGAUGAGAUGGACCUGCCAGGGAAAAGAAAAGCAAUUCCUUUACUUCCUGACUGAGAUCUCAGGGGGGGGGGGAGAUACAAGAUGGAAAGAAAAGUCUGAUCUGCUCGCUGUGAAACGCCAGUUUCUCAUUUGCCUGAAAAAAAAAAUGAGAAAAAGAUUGAUAUUGUUAUAUGUGAUGAAGUGCAGCACGAGGUGGAUUCUUACCGACGUUUCAGAAUGCUUUGUAGUCGAGACUGGUUCUGAGAAGAAAUGCUAACAAAUCCUUGCUGGAUACAGAUCAGGGGGCUAUUGAAAAUCUGCAAAAGGCUAAGUCAUAAAGUCCCUCAGUUCAAGAAGACGACUCGUACCUGGGAAUGGCUCUGGACUAAUUACAAAAAAACUGUUUAAAAUCACUGCAGAAAGCAGAGACAACAAGAGUUUUGCCAAAAGGAAGAAGGGCUGUUGAUCACUUGUGUGGUAGAGAGAAACACCCAGAAUCAGUCUGGACAGGAUGGAGUUUUAGUCUGGACAGGAUGGAGUUUUAGACUGGACAGGAUGGAGUUUUAGUCUGGACAGGAUGGAGCUUCAGUCUGGACAGGAUGGAGCUUCAGUCUGGACAGGAUGGAGUUUCAGUCUGGACAGGAUGGAGCUUCAGUCUGGACAGGAUGGAGUUUUAGUCUGGACAGGAUGGAGCCUAACUGUGGAAAAACAGAAACUGACUGAUACACACAUUACAAUGACAAAUCAAUGACCAGAUUGGCAACCAGCUCCAGCUACUCAGCAUCACUCUGACUAUUUGUGCUGGUUGGCUUCUGUCUCAGCUGAAGGGAGGACAUUGUGUUUUAAAGUCUUUUCUUUCUGUCCUGAAGUAGGCCUACCUGCUUAAUACACACAGACUUUCAUAUAGGUAAAGCAAAGGCAUGCUAUGACUUAACUCUACCUUCAUAUAUUGGGCUGCCUUUAUCCCAAUAGUUUCACAGUUUAAAAACGUGUGUUUUCAAAUGACUGUAUGCUACAUUGAUCUUUGGAUCACACUUGGAAUGUGAAAGGUUUCCUAGUGUUAGUUUUAGGUCUCCCUGAAGUCCGUAGACUUCCAUUCUAUUAGUCACCCUAGAACACAGUCAUCGAGCCUAACGGAGAUGUGUAUUCAUUAGGGAUAUACUGUAGCUAAAUGUUUAAUGGAGGGCUACGCUAGCGUUUCUUGGACCAAUUCAGAAAUUGGUACACAAGGAGGAGUAGCACUAGUCUUUUUAGGAUUAAGUGAAAAUAGGGAGACAAUGUAUUUGUAUUAAGGGUUUAGUCUUUGAAUGGUGGAUUUGUGCAGAUUCCCUUGGCCUUCCUUCCUGUUUAACUCUUGAUGUCUGGUCUUGCUGUAGAGACUGAACACAGCAGGAUUAUUGCUAGACUUUUUUUGUUUUCUUAACUAUUUUACGACGUAUUCAUUGACGAAACGAACUCCACUACAAAUACAAGCCUCUAUAGAAGAACCUCUGAUCCUUUUUUAGUUAGGAAUAAAAAGACAAAGAUGUUUUAUUUUCUAAGAGUAUGUAGUAGUAGCAGUAGUGAAAUAACCUACUAUGAUGGAUCAUAUUUUAAUUUUUUUAUCAGUGGGCUAUUUUGUUUUUUUUGUUCCUUUUUUUGUGGAAAGAUUUAGAGACUGUAUCCAGACCUGCCUUACUGUUACCAAUAUGUUCCUUUUUUUGUGGAAAGAUUUAGAGACUGUAUCCAGACCUGCCUUACUGUUACCAAUAUGUUCCUUUUUUUGUGGAAAGAUUUAGAGACUGUACCCAGACCUGUCUUACUCUUACCAAUAUGUUCCUUUUUUUGUGGAAAGAUUUAGAGACUGUACCCAGACCUGUCUUACUCUUACCAAUAUGUUCCUUUUUUUGUGGAAAGAUUUAGAGACUGUAUCCAGACCUGCCUUACUCUUACCAAUAUGUUCAUUUUUUGAACAGGGAGUUAUUCUACCGUAAACUAAGAUUAUUUUUAUGUAUUUAUUUUUAUUUUUUAAAGGAUACUUCCUCUGACAUUCUUAGAGCUGUCAUUUUAUUGUGAGGAACUGCAGUUCGAUCGGAAUAGUUGUUCUGUUUUUGUCCUCUGUUUUGUGAGUGACCCUCUCACUCAGUCAACUCGUCUCAGUGCACAAGUCUCCCCUUCUCCAGACACCACGUAUGAAUCAGAAUCCGUAGCUAGUUGUGACACGUGAGCCUCUGGAUGAAAAGGUAUGCAAGUCAUUUGUUUUUUAUGAGGGGGGGGGUAAAUUAUAUUAACAUUUUAAGAAUUCAUAGAAUCUGACUGGUGCCAAUAGCAUUCAGGUCAACACUUAAAGGAAUGUGAAUUAGCUGUAAUUUCUUGGUCUGAUAUCUUCAUACAUGUGUUUGUGUUUCCAGCAGAGUAUCCCUAAAGCAGUGUGGUCGUAUCAGCCCCCCCAUGUUGGACUAAACUCUACACAAGUGAAAACCCCAAAUCCCUAAAGGUGUGUUAAAUCCCUAAAUAUUAUUUUUAAGAAUCAACAUUUUUUGUACAAUUUUGCUGCCUUGAGACAGGCAGCCCAAUUCUGAAUUUGUUUUCUUCAGUAAUUGGUCUUUUGACCAAUCAAAUCAGCUUUGAAAAAGAUCUGAUGUGAUUGGUCAAAAUGUAAAUUAAUGGAACAUUUAUCAGAAUUGGGCUGCCUGCCUCAACGUAAACAUUGUGGCUUAGAAGAAUAGCUUAUUGGGAUGUCAACGUUAUCCAAUUAUUAUACUGUAUCACAUCACUGUGAUUAACACUGGCANNNNNNNNNNNNNNNNNNNNNNNNNNNNNNNNNNNNNNNNNNNNNNNNNNNNNNNNNNNNNNNNNNNNNNNNNNNNNNNNNNNNNNNNNNNNNNNNNNNNNNNNNNNNNNNNNNNNNNNNNNNNNNNNNNAAAGGUAAAGCGUUAGUUAGCAGGUUACGGACAACUAACCUAGUUCUUUUACUCGCCAUUUCGGUAAGAGCUACGACCCGAAAUUAUUUUAAUAGCAGGUUAGGAGGGCAGUUUUGCCAUCCCUAAUUAUUUUUCAUAACCGUAACCAAAUUGUCCUAACCUGCUACAUUGAUUCUCAUAACCCGUUGCGUAAUACUUUGUACUAAUCUGCUACGAAAAAGUAACUUCCGGUCGUAACUGUAUCGAAGUGGCGC
rnacentral:lncRNA from 13 species